rnacentral:tRNA from 2 species
GGCGAGAUGGCCGAGUGGUUUUAAGGCGAUCGCUUGCUAUCAGCAAGAUAAGAGCGGUUGGGUUCUCCCGCGUGAGUUCGAAUCUCACUCUCGUCG